UACGGAGGGGGCCAGCGUUGUUCGGAAUCAUUGGGCGUAAAGGGCGCGUAGGCGGCUUGGUAAGUCCGUUGUGAAAUCCCUCGGCUCAACCGAGGAACUGCGACGGAUACUGCUUGGCUUGAGUCCCGGAGAGGGUAGCGGAAUUCCCAGUGUAGCGGUGAAAUGCGUAGAUAUUGGGAGGAACACCGGUGGCGAAGGCGGAUCUCUGGGCCUUACCUGACGCUCAGGCGCGAAAGCUAGGGGAGCGAACAGG
rnacentral:rRNA from 1 species